GAUCGUUUCGGCAUUGAGGGAGCAUUGGACCCAGAGUGGAAACCAUGACACGGUAGCUGGCCUGGGACCGAGGGACCCUUUCUAGUCUUUCUCUGAGUUCUUUGAAUAUCUGCCUUUCCAGCUUCCCGUCUUUUGUGUCUGGUUCGAAAUCAUUAUGAGGGAGAGUGUAUAUCUCUGAGUGUGUCAGUUCGAAAAGACGGCCUUUCUGUUUCCCACCCCUGCUGGGUUCUCUAGCCUUACCAGGCAGAAGAGCGAGCGAACAAACGAACGAUUGGGACAAAGCGCCAGCGACUCGAGAUACUUCAGAUGACGUUUACACGGUCGUUGUUUCCAAACCGCUGCUUGACGCGUAUUAAGACACAUCUGUGGGCUUGCUGCAUAAUUUAAAGCUUUGUUGAUCUUGUUUCUGUUUGAACUUUCGGUUACGGGGGUUGGGGGGGGGCCCACGCCCCACGCCGCCGGUCGUACAUGAGAGUUGUUGAAAGUCAACAAGCCGAGUGCGCCUGAUUGCUCUGUGUCAGCCUUUACUUUUAUUUUUAUGAGUUUGCUCUGUCAAUGGACAAUAAAUCAUAUUAUCAAAGAC
rnacentral:lncRNA from 1 species